UCUUAAGAAAGGGAAAACUGGUUAUUUGGAAAAUAAGACCAAAUUAGAUAUUCACCUUACAAACUCAAUGUUUUAUGGCUAAACGUAAAAGAAAACAUCUGAAUGAAGAAGUCUAAGGGAUGGAGGCAGUCACACAAGAAUAAAGAGGUGCACUUAUCUACAUUUAAAUAAAAGUGAAAUAAAUUGCAAAUAUAUAGCAGAAAGGGUUAAUGAGCUCAUUCC
rnacentral:lncRNA from 1 species